CAGCCGCCGCGGGAACACGGAGGGGGCUAGCGUUGUUCGGAUUUACUGGGCGUAAAGCGCACGUAGGCGGAUCGAUCAGUCAGGGGUGAAAUCCCAGAGCUCAACUCUGGAACUGCCUUUGAUACUGUCGAUCUGGAGUAUGGAAGAGGUGAGUGGAAUUCCGAGUGUGGAGGUGAAAUUCGUAGAUAUUCGGAGGAACAUCAGUGGCGAAGGCGGCUCACUGGUCCAUUACUGACGCUGAGGUGCGAAAGCGUGGGGAGCAAACAGGAUUAGAUACCCGCGUAGUCCCUGUCUCUUAUAC
rnacentral:rRNA from 1 species